rnacentral:rRNA from 1 species
UACGUAGGGGGCUAGCGUUGUCCGGAUUUAUUGGGCGUAAAGAGCGUGUAGGCGGCCAGGUAGGUCUGCUGUGAAAACUCGAGGCUCAACCUCGAGACGUCGGCGGAAACCAUCUGGCUAGAGUCCGGAAGAGGAGAGUGGAAUUCCUGGUGUAGCGGUGAAAUGCGCAGAUAUCAGGAAGAACACCAGUGGCGAAGGCGGCUCACUGGACCGGUACUGACGCUGAGGCGCGAAAGCGUGGGGAGCAAACAGG